GCAACAAGCCGCCUUAUCGCCUCCGAGCUUGCUGGGGGGAGGAAAGUCCGGGCAACACAGGGUAGCGUACUUCCUAACGGGAAGGGGCUUCGGGCAACCGGGGUCACAGACAGUGCCACAGAAAACAAACUACCCGUUCCGACUUGUCGGGACAGGAAAAGGUGAAAAGGUGAGGUAAGAGCUCACCGGCCGGCUGGCGACAGACGGUGCAGGGUAAACCUUACGCGUUGAAAGGUCAAAUAGGCCAUGGUUGGAAUUGCCCGUUCCUUCGUGCGGCGCAAGCCGUAUGUAACCGUGGCGGGUAGACUGAUUGAUCAUGGUGGCGACGCCAUGACCAGAUAAAUGAUAGGGAUCCGCUUCGGCGGAAACAGAACCCGGCUUACAGGCUUGCUAUUUUU
rnacentral:RNase_P_RNA from 2 species